UACAGAGGUCCCGAGCGUUGUUCGGAUUCAUUGGGCGUAAAGGGUGCGUAGGCGGCUUCCUAAGUUUGAUGUGAAAGCCCGGGGCUCAACCCUGGAAUUGCAUUGAAUACUGGCGGACUAGAGUACUGGAGAGGAAACUGGAAUUUACGGUGUAGCAGUGAAAUGCGUAGAGAUCGUAAGGAAGACCAGUGGCGAAGGCGAGUUUCUGGACAGUUACUGACGCUGAGGCACGAAGGCCAGGGGAGCAAACGGG
rnacentral:rRNA from 1 species